rnacentral:rRNA from 1 species
AGAGUUUGAUCCUGGCUCAGAACGAACGCUGGCGGCGUGCUUAACACAUGCAAGUCGCGUGCGCAGUUUCCGUAGCAAUACGGGGAUGGGCGCACGGCGCACGGGUGCGUAACACGUGGGCAAUCUGCCCUCCGAUGGGGAAUACCCCCGCGAAAGCGGGACUAAUUCCGCAUAACAUUCCUUGGAUUAAUUUUCGAGGAUUCAAAGCAGCAAUGCGUCGGAGGAGGAGCCCGCGCCCGAUUAGCUAGUUGGUGAGGUAACGACUCACCAAGGCAAUGAUCGGUAGCUGGUCUGAGAGGAUGGCCAGCCACACUGGAACUGAGACACGGUCCAGACUCCUACGGGAGGCAGCAGUGGGGAAUCUUGCACAAUGGGCGAAAGCCUGAUGCAGCGACGCCGCGUGGGGGAUGAAGCUUUUCGGAGUGUAAACCCCUUUCGACUGGGACGAAUGCCUCGCAAGAGGAGUGACGGUACCAGUAUAAGAAGCCCCGGCUAACUACGUGCCAGCAGCCGCGGUAAGACGUAGGGGGCCAGCGUUGUUCGGAAUUACUGGGUGUAAAGGGUUCGUAGGCGGUGUGGCAAGUCGGGAGUGAAAUCUCUGGGCUCAACCCAGAGACUGCUUCCGAAACUGCUGUGCUUGAGUGUGAGAGAGGCUCGUGGAAUUGCAGGUGUAGCGGUGAAAUGCGUAGAUAUCUGCAGGAACACCCGUGGCGAAAGCGGCGAGCUGGAUCACUACUGACGCUGAGGAACGAAAGCUAGGGGAGCAAACAGGAUUAGAUACCCUGGUAGUCCUAGCCCUAAACGAUCAGGACUUGGGGUGCCGCCCGUUCGGGCGUCGUCCCGGAGCUAACGCGUUAAGUCCUGCACCUGGGGAGUACGGUCGCAAGACUGAAACUCAAAGGAAUUGACGGGGGCCCGCACAAGCGGUGGAACAUGUGGUUCAAUUCGACGCUACGCGAGGA